CUGCAAAUAAUUGUGUUCGUCCAUCAUGGAGAAAAAGCCUCACCAUGAAAGUGUUGGGUUUCCCUGGUCCUUUAUAAGCUGUCAUUAAACAUAAUGCACUGUAAUGUCAAGUAACCGACUGCUUGUUGCCCUUAACUAAUCUGACCGCGGGUAA